UAUNGCACAAUGGGGGAAACCCUGAUGCAGCNACACCGCGUGAGUGAGGAAGUAUUUCGGUAUGUAAAGCUCUAUCAGCAGGGAAGAAAAUGACGGUACCUGACUAAGAAGCCCCGGCUAAUUACGUGCCAGCAGCCGCGGUAAUACGUAGGGGGCAAGCGUUAUCCGGAUUUACUGGGUGUAAAGGGAGCGUAGGUGGCAGGGCAAGUCAGAUGUGAAAACCCGGGGCUCAACCCCGGGAGUGCAUUUGAAACUGUACAGCUGGAGUGCAGGAGAGGUAAGCGGAAUUCCUAGUGUAGCGGUGAAAUGCAUAGAUAUUAGGAGGAACACCAGUGGCGAAGGCGGCUUACUGGACUGUAACUGACGUUGAGGCUCGAAAGCGUGGGGAGCAAACAGG
rnacentral:rRNA from 1 species